CCUGCCAGGAGUUUCCGUGAGGUUUUUUCAGUGGGAUUAUUUGUGUCCCUGUGGCUCUUCAGGGAGCUUGCAGAAUUCUAGCUAAAGAUAAGAAGGGCAUCGCUUCAAAUGGGAGGCCAAUCAAUGCAGCAUUAGGAAGGCUUCAUUCAGCUCAGCACCACCUUGGGUAAGUGCAAAACUGAGUUUUCAGCUACUGUCUGCUGACAGGCAAAACAUUUCUUUGGCAAUGAAGAGUAAACAGACACCUGUCUGGAUUUGACACUCCUGGGGAAUAUAAAGAUGAAUUAGUAGCUGCCUCUCCCUUGAGGAUCUUACGUGGGUGCUCUUGUUAUCUCUUGCUAUAUAAUAAACCACCCCAAAAUUCAGUGACUUGAAAUAAUGACAAUCAUUUAUUUUGCUUAUGAAUCUGCCAUUUGGGGUUUCCAGAGUUACUCUUCUCAGAAGCCCAGGUUGAGUCUAAAAGGCUUCUUAUGACCUGGCCUCAGAGGUCUAUCAUUCAGGCAAAUCAUUAAGGCCAGACCAUAUUCAGGGGGAGGGGAGUUGUCCUCCAGGUCUCCAUGGGAGUAGCAAAGAAUUGGCACAGCACUAAGCCUGUUAUGCAUGUUUUCCCUAAUGUUCACAACCACCCUGGGAUGAGAAUGUUACAAAUGAAAAAAGUGAGCCGUGGUGGCUCAACUAACUUGCCUAUGCCACUCACGUCCCAAGUGGCAGGGUAGAUUCAAACCUAGUACUCUGGUCUUGCUAGAAGAGAACUUGUGGGUCUUUGGUUCAAUUUCCUUAAUUUUCAAAUAGGAAAAACAGACCAACAAAAAACAACUAAACACAAAGAACGAAAAGAAAAGCCUGUUUGGUGUAAAAUUUGACUUUAGGUCAAAUUUGACUUUAGGUCACUUAUGAGUUUCCAAGGAGGAGCUGUGAAAGAGUUCAGGCAGCCAGAUCUUUCAAGUCUGGGCAUGGUUAUGUUGAAUGUUUUUAGAUGAGGUAAUGCUGUAGAUAGUCAACAGAUAGCAUGUUACUGUGCUCUCCAAUCGCUGUCAAUUUCAGGAAACUAUAGGAACACUAGGAACAGACGCCUAAAUGACUUUGACCUCAAGUGCAAGUACUUAGGGUAAAAUUAUCUCACACUGUGAUGUAAAUUUCUGCUAUGCUCUGUUUAAUUGUAUUUUAUUUUCAGAUUUCAUCAGGUUUGACAUAAAUGUAUUUAUAAUGAUUGCAUUAACUGGGAUUUGAAGCUCAAAAUGAAUAUGCUUUUUUUUUUUGAGAUAGGGUUUUGCUCUGUCACCCAGGCUGAUAAUAUACCUAUAAAAAGAAAGAA
ensembl:lncRNA MIR100HG mir-100-let-7a-2-mir-125b-1 cluster host gene